ACGUAGGGUGCAAGCGUUAAUCGGAAUUACUGGGCGUAAAGCGUGCGCAGGCGGUUGUGCAAGACAGAUGUGAAAUCCCCGGGCUCAACCUGGGAACUGCCUUUGUGACUGCAAGGCUGGAGUGCGGCAGAGGGGGAUGGAAUUCCGCGUGUAGCAGUGAAAUGCGUAGAUAUGCGGAGGAACACCGAUUGCGAAGGCAGCUCACUACGCGGGAUAUCGACACUGAGGCACGAAAGCGUGGGGAUCAAACAGGA
rnacentral:rRNA from 1 species